rnacentral:lncRNA from 1 species
AUAUGCCAUCAUUCCAAACAUUUAACAAUAUUGCACUAUGGUACAAAAACAAAUUUCAUAAUUGUUCAUUCCUUAUAUAAUCAUUAUGCUCCUUUCACAAAUAGGACACAAAGCUACUAAGUAUUACCUUGCCUACUGCUCCUAGAACUAUUGUUGCAUCUGAACACCCAUAGACAGUAGCAUAUCUCAAAGGUGCUAAGAUGUAUAUGGCAGACUCGUGGCAAUUUAGAACCU